AGCCUGAGAUCCUACUAUGAUGAAAUACCUUCAGAAGGUGAAAGAUAUUGCAGCAAGCUUGAAUAUUUCGAGAUCUUUCAUAUUUUCAGAACCGAAAAUGCUCGGACUGAUAUACUUUCACGAUUGGCUACUAUUGCUCUCAACUCGCUGGAUCGGAUAUUCGUUGAAUGCCUCGAAUAGUCGAGCAUCGACAAAAUCAAGAAAGUAUUGCAGCUCACUAUCAAAUCAAGCUGGAUGGAUCC
rnacentral:lncRNA from 1 species